UUUGCGGGGGAUGUUUUGAUAGAGGACUCGUUGUGAUAUCAUGGGAUUUGAAAUAAUUCUAUAUGUAAGAUGUAAUAGGCAGGGUUGGAUUAAAAAUUCGGUUGAAUUUUUUAACCCGGCUAUAACAUUUUUGUUGGUAGCUAUAAGAGGGUUAAGUAUGUUAGAGUUAAAGUAGUUCUAGAAUAGAUGGUUUUUUAGAAAGUGGGGUAUUACAGUUGAUGUCAGAAUCAAUCACCGGCCGGAAGUGUGAGAAUAAGUCACAGCUAAACUAAGGUAAUAUAGCAGAUAGAGUACGGCUCCCCGGCUAAUGACUGUUGUGCGUGAAAUAUGAUUUCCCACAAGAUUAAUUAAGACUAGAGAGACGAGUCUUACAUAGGCGGUGAGUGUGCUUGAGUCUGACAAAAAGGGCAGGGCCAAAAGAAACACUCCCAUAUAUAUUAUAAGGCUAAACUUCUUAACCCGACUAUAGCAUUCUGGACGAUUGUUAGACUAAAGAGGUUAAAAAGGUUAAGUAUCCUAAAACUAAAAUGGUUUUAAGAUGAAUGACCUCUUGGGAAGGGGAA
rnacentral:lncRNA from 1 species